rnacentral:rRNA from 1 species
CCAAAUGAAUGCAGAAUUAAUAUUGUAACAUAGACCUAAAAAAUCUAUAAAACAAUUUUUAACAACGGAUCUCUUGGUUCUCGCAUCGAUGAAGAACGUAGCAAAGUGCGAUAACUAGUGUGAAUUGCAUAUUCAGUGAAUCAUCGAGUCUUUGAACGC